rnacentral:rRNA from 1 species
GACGUAGGGCGCGAGCGUUGUCCGGAUUUCUUGGGCGUAAAGAGCGUGUAGGCGGCCAGACAGGUCCGUUGUGAAAACUCGAGGCUCAACCUCGAGACGUCGAUGGAAACCGUCUGGCUAGAGUCCGGAAGAGGAGUGUGGAAUUCCUGGUGUAGCGGUGAAAUGCGCAGAUAUCAGGAAGAACACCUAUGGCGAAGGCAGCACUCUGGGACGGUACUGACGCUGAGACGCGAAAGCGUGGGGAGCGAACAGG